AUGGAUGUCGACUUGGCGAGCUGCAGCGGGAGCGAGGCGCUGUUCAAGUUCGCGGUGUUCGUCCUGGUGCAGGCGCUGGUGUACCUCAUCCUGUCCCAGUCCUCCGACGUGUUCUCCGGCGCCAGGAGCCUCGGCAGCUUCCGUCGCCCGGCGAGGUCUGUCAGCCUCCGCCGCAUGGUCACGCAGCUGCUCACGGAGAUGCCGGCGGGCGGCGAGCCGUCGUCUCCGGCCGCCAGGCAGCGGGACGGGGGAUCCGACGGUGCCGGCGUGGACGUUGACCUGGAGAUGGAGCUUAUGUUGAUUGGUUGCUCCUUUUCAUCGUGA
rnacentral:rRNA from 1 species